AGUGAACGCUGGCGGUAGGCCUAACACAUGCAAGUCGAACGGCAGCACAGUAAGAGCUUGCUCUUACGGGUGGCGAGUGGCGGACGGGUGAGGAAUACAUCGGAAUCUACUUUUUCGUGGGGGAUAACGUAGGGAAACUUACGCUAAUACCGCAUACGACCUACGGGUGAAAGCAGGGGAUCUUCGGACCUUGCGCGAUUGAAUGAGCCGAUGUCGGAUUAGCUAGUUGGCGGGGUAAAGGCCCACCAAGGCGACGAUCCGUAGCUGGUCUGAGAGGAUGAUCAGCCACACUGGAACUGAGACACGGUCCAGACUCCUACGGGAGGCAGCAGUGGGGAAUAUUGGGCAAUGGGCGAAAGCCUGACCGAGCAAUACCGCGUGGGUGAUGAAGGCCUUCGGGUUGUAAAGCUCUUUUGUUGGGAAAGAAAAGCAGCAGGUUAAUCCGUCGAUGUUUUGACGGUACCUAAACAAUAAGCCCCGGCUAACUUCGUG
rnacentral:rRNA from 1 species